UUAACCUCGUACCUUUUGCAUCAUGAUUUAGCCAGUAACCCCAAGCAGAGAGCACUUUAGUUUGACACCCCGAAACUAAGGGAGCUACUCCAAGACAGCCUAUUUAUAGGGCAAACCCGUCUCUGUGGCAAAAGAGUGGGAAGAACUUUGAGUAGAGGUGACAGACCUACCGAACUUAGUUAUAGCUGGUUGCCUGAGAACUGAAUAGUAGUUCAGCCUACCCGCUUCUUUGUAAACCAGUAGAGUUAGUCAAAGGGGGUCCAGCCCCUUUGAAUCAAGACACAGCUUUUUUAGGAGAGUAAAGAUCAUAUUAAACCAAAGAAGUCAUGUUCUGGUGGGCCUAAAAGCAGCCAUCCUCAUAAAAAGCGUUAAAGCUUAGACAUAUAUCCCGAUAAUACAAUCUUACCCCCCUAACCUUAUCAGGCCGUCCUAUGCUACCAUAGGAGUGAUAAUGCUAAUAUGAGUAAUAAGAGGGCCCCCUCUCCUAGCACACGUGUAAGUCGGAACGAACCCACACCGAACAUUAACGGCCCCAAAUAAAGAGGGGAGUGGACUAUAACUGGAAAACCCUACACCGUUAACCCCACACUGGUGUGCCACUUGGGAAAGACCUAAAGAAAGAGAAGGAACUCGGCAAACUAGCCUCGCCUGUUUACCAAAAACAUCGCCUCUUGUAGAUAAGAGGUCCCGCCUGCCCAGUGACUACUAGUUCAACGGCCGCGGUAUUUUGACCGUGCAAAGGUAGCGUAAUCAUUUGUCUUUUAAAUGAAGACCAGUAUGAAAGGCACCACGAGGGCUCGACUGUCUCCUCUUUCCAGUCAAUGAAAUUGAUCUCCCCGUGCAGAAGCGGGGAUAACAUCAUAAGACGAGAAGACCCUAUGGAGCUUUAGACACGAAGCAGAUCAUGUCAAUCAACCCGAACAAAGGACCAAACCUAGUGAGACCUGCUACAAUGUCUUAGGUUGGGGCGACCAUGGAGUAACAAAAACCCUCCACGUGGAAUGGGAGUACUCCCAAAAUCAAGGGCUGCGGCCCUAGAUAUCAGAAUUUCUGACCUAAAUUGAUCCGGCAGUGCCGAUUAGCGGACCAAGUUACCCUAGGGAUAACAGCGCAAUCCCCUUUUAGAGUCCAUAUCGACAAGGGGGUUUACGACCUCGAUGUUGGAUCAGGACAUCCUAUUGGUGCAG
rnacentral:rRNA from 1 species